AGCAGCAGGAAUGGAAGAGACUAACAUGCAAGCAUGACGAGAUUCUUGCAAUGAAAAUAAGAAAACUGGUACACACACACACACACCUAAAAUCUGAUUUAAUUGUCAUGGACUAUAUCUACAGCUAUGAGGUUACACCAAGUCCAUAAAAAUAAGAUUAUCCGAAAAUAAGAUGGCCACUACUUACUAGGAACCAGUCAAAGAGACCCAGGAGUCUGAGGGCAUAUCAAAAGUACCUGAAGGAGGGGGGUGGGAAUGUGGCUUAAUGGUAG